rnacentral:rRNA from 1 species
UACAGGGGGUGCAAACGUUGCUCGGAAUUACUGGGCGUAAAGCGUGCGCAGGUGGUGAGCUGUGUCCGAUGUGAAAGCCCCGGGCUUAACCUGGGAAUGGCAUUGGAAACUGGCUCGCUGGAGUGUGGCAGAGGGGGGUGGAAUUCCGCGUGUAGCAGUGAAAUGCGUAGAGAUGCGGAGGAACACCGAUGGCGAAGGCAGCCCCCUGGGCUAACACUGACGCUCAGGCACGAAAGCGUGGGGAGCAAACAGG